rnacentral:rRNA from 1 species
UACGGAGGGUGCAAGCGUUGUCCGGAAUCAUUGGGUGUAAAGAGUUCGUAGGUGGUAUGUUAAGUCUGGUGUUAAAGGCAGAAGCUCAACUUCUGUAAGGCACUGGAUACUGGCAAACUUGAAUGUGGUAGAGGUAAAGGGAAUUCCUGGUGUAGCGGUGAAAUGCGUAGAUAUCAGGAGGAACAUCGGUGGCGAAAGCGCUUUACUGGGCCAUUAUUGACACUGAGGAACGAAAGCCGGGGUAGCAAAUGGG